GACGAACGCUGGCGGCGUGCUUAACACAUGCAAGUCGAACGAGAAUCUGUGGAAAGAGGAUUCGUCCAAUUGAAGCAGAGGACAGUGGCGGACGGGUGAGUAACGCGUGAGGAACCUGCCUCAAAGAGGGGGACAACAGUUGGAAACGACUGCUAAUACCGCAUAAGCCCACGGCUCGGCAUCGAGCAGAGGGAAAAGGAGUGAUCCGCUUUGAGAUGGCCUCGCGUCCGAUUAGCUAGUUGGUGAGGUAACGGCCCACCAAGGCGACGAUCGGUAGCCGGACUGAGAGGUUGAACGGCCACAUUGGGACUGAGACACGGCCCAGACUCCUACGGGAGGCAGCAGUGGGGAAUAUUGCACAAUGGGGGGAAACCCUGAUGCAGCGACGCCGCGUGGAGGAAGAAGGUCUUCGGAUUGUAAACUCCUGUUGUUGAGGAAGAUAAUGACGGUACUCAACAAGGAAGUGACGGCUAACUACGUGCCAGCAGCCGCGGU
rnacentral:rRNA from 1 species